GUUCUGGGCCGCACGCGCGCUACACUGACGGAGCCAGCGAGUAUUAACCUUGGCCGAGAGGUCUGGGAAAUCUUGUGAAACUCCGUCGUGCUGGGGAUAGAGCAUUGUAAUUAUUGCUCUUCAACGAGGAAUUCCUAGUAAGCGCAAGUCAUCAGCUUGCGUUGAUUACGUCCCUGCCCUUUGUACACACCGCCCGUCGCUACUACCGAUUGAAUGGCUUAGUGAGGCCUCCGGAUUGGUUUAAAGAAGGGGGCAACUCCAUCUUGGAACCGAAAAGCUGGUCAAACUUGGUCAUUUAGAGGAAGUAAAAGUCGUAACAAGGUUUCCGUAGGUGAACCUGCGGAAGGAUCAUUACAGUAUUCUUUUGCCAGCGCUUAACUGCGCGGCGAAAAACCUUACACACAGUGUCUUUUUGAUACAGAACUCUUGCUUUGGUUUGGCCUAGAGAUAGGUUGGGCCAGAGGUUUAACAAAACACAAUUUAAUUAUUUUUAUUGAUAGUCAAAUUUUGAAUUAAUCUUCAAAACUUUCAACAACGGAUCUCUUGGUUCUCGCAUCGAUGAAGAACGCAGCGAAAUGCGAUAAGUAAUAUGAAUUGCAGAUUUUCGUGAAUCAUCGAAUCUUUGAACGCACAUUGCGCCCUCUGGUAUUCCAGAGGGCAUGCCUGUUUGAGCGUCAUUUCUCUCUCAAACCCCCGGGUUUGGUAUUGAGUGAUACUCUUAGUCGAACUAGGCGUUUGCUUGAAAAGUAUUGGCAUGGGUAGUACUGGGAUAGUGCUGUCGACCUCUCAAUGUAUUAGGGUUUAUCCAACCUC
rnacentral:rRNA from 1 species